AGCGGGGGUGGGAGCUGCGGACGGCCAUGUGCGCGGCGGAGAGGCCGGGUGGCCACCGAACCUUCCCGCCUGUUCUGCGGGGCGUCUGGGCAUGGCUUUCCCAACCUAGUAACUGCAACUUUUAGCAUCCUACAUGUAGGACUUGGGAAUAUGUGAGACAGCGCCAAGAAUUUAAUCCAGGAGAAUUGACAAGCUUAAAUGAAAUCCAUAUUGCCCACUGAUUUUGUGCAGCUUCAGAUAAGUAAUCUUUCUCCACUUAGCCUUUUGUAACAAUUGAUGUAAUAAAGGUUUGUAGUCUUUGUGUAAUUUAUUAAAGCAUUGUGCCUAAAAUAGAAAAAAAGCAUAGGAACCAUAGGCUGUGUUUUCUUUUGAUUUAAUAUUUUCAUUUCUUCAGUUAAUAGAAAUUUGCCAAAUUCUGAUGUUUUUCUGUAGCAUUAUUUGAAUGAGCAUUGUUUAUUUGAGUGAACAUUCAGCUAAUUGUUACAGAAUCGUUGCCCCCAUUAAUCUUAGGCUGUAGAAUGUAGACAAGUAAAUAGGCAUCAUCAGUAUGAUGAGAGUGAAGCUACUUAAUACUGUGGAAUCAAAUAAAGGAGGAACCCCUUACUAAACCAAGAGGGAGGAAUAAAAUGGAAUGGGACUAGAGAAGCAAUUAGCUUUAAUAAGGGUAUUAUGGAAGACUUUCUAGAUGAGAAGCAGUAAGUACAGAUGUUUGGAGGCAAACACUAGAGAGAUUGUUGGGUAAAGAAGACAAUGCUGGAGGUCUACUUGUGAAGGCCUUGAAUGCUAUGUGCAGAAGUCAGCUUCUGAGAACCAGGAAGAAGAUAUUGAAAGAUUUUAAGUAGAAGAAUCAUAGGAUUGAAUUCAUUUUAGACAGAUCACUGUUACACAAAAAUUUGAGGCAAACAGAAGAGUUUGGAGUAAACAGUAGGCUGUGAGCCAGUAAUGACUUGGACUGAGUUGGUAGCAGGUAGGUGUGAAGAAAAUAAAGUGGUUAUUGGGAGAUUUGGUUAACUGAAAAUGACUGAGGGAGAUAGAUGUCAGGUGACUCCCAAGUGAGUUGGUGGAGCAGCUAGGAGGAUAGUAAUGUCUUCACUGAGAUUAGAAACAAAAUAAGAGAAUAUAUGUUAGGGAAGGAAGAAGUCUUUGUUUUGACCAUGUAAAAUUUGAAGUGCAUGUGAGCCAACCAGUCAUAUAUGUGUAGUGUGCAAUUAGAUAUUCAUUCAACACUGUUGGAAGAGCACCUACUCUGUGCCUGGUACUGUUCUACACACUGAAAUAGGUAAAGCAGCAGCAAAACAAAUGGUUCCUACUCCUGUUUUUUAGAGGGAAACAGCAUAUAAACAAGUUUUAAAAAUAAGAGGAGAGAGAAUAUCCCAUAAAUUCGUGAAGAAGGCUGGGUGCAGUGGCUCAUGCCAGUAAUCCCAGCAGUUUGGGAGGCCGAGGUGGGUGGAUCUCCUGAGUUCAGGAGUUAAAGAGCAGCCUGGCCAACAUGGCAAAACCCCGUCUCUACUGAAAAAAAUUAGCUGGGCAUGGUGGCACGCUCCUGUAAUUCCAGCUACUCCGGAGGCUGAGGCAGGAGAGUAGCUUGAACCCAGGACACGGAGGCUGCAGUGAGCCGAGAUUGCGCCACUGCACUCCAGCCUGGGCGACUGAACGAGACUCCGCCUCAAAAAAAAAGAGUUUGUGAGGAAAAUUAAAAGCUGAUUGGAUAAAGUGUUACUCUGGGGAAAAGAGAGCAAACUUUUGGUGGUUGGUUGAUCAGAGAUGGCCUCACUGAGAAGGUAUUAGAAAGGACAAGAACAGUGUGAGACCAAAGGGAAUAGCUGGGCAAAGGCCCUAAGGUGAAAAAUUUGUUGUGUUUAGGGAAUAGCAAGGUCAGUGUAUCCGAAAUCUAGUGACCAAAAGAAGGAAUGAUAGGAGGUGAAGUCUUCAGCCUCAAUAAGAAGGUGAAGUGCACUGGAAGCCAUUGAAGGAUUUAAGAAAUGGAGUAUCUGGCCGGGCGCGGUGGCUCACGCCUGUAAUCCCAGCACUUUGGGAGGCCGAGGUGGGAGGAUCAAGAGGUCAGGAGAUGGAGACCAUCCUGGCUAACAUGGUGAAACCCCGUCUCUAUUCAAAAUAAAAAAUUUUUUUAAAAAUUAGCCAGGCGUGGUGGCGGGCGCCUGUAGUCCCAGCUACUCGGGAGGCUGAGGCAGGAUAAUGGCGUGAACCCAGGAGGCAGGGCUUGCAGUGAGCCGAGAUCGUGCCACUGCACUCCAGCCUGGGCGACAGAGCGAGACUCCGUCUCAAAAAAAAAAAAAAAAAAAAAAGAAA
rnacentral:lncRNA from 10 species